CCGUCGGCCCCUCGCGACGCUAGGUCGAAAACCCCGCCAGGGCCGGAAGGCAGCAACGGUAUCGAUCG
rnacentral:SRP_RNA from 1 species